ensembl:snRNA U7 U7 small nuclear RNA
AAGUGAUUUCAGCUCCUUUGGUAUUUGUCCAGCAGGUUUCCCACUCCGUGGGAAGCCCUG